rnacentral:rRNA from 1 species
UACGUAGGCAGCGAGCGUUGUUCGGAGUUACUGGGCGUAAAGGGUGUGUAGGCGGUUCUUUAAGUUUGGUGUGAAAUCUCCCGGCUCAACCGGGAGGGUGCGCCGAAUACUGAGGGACUAGAGUAUGGGAUGGGAAAGUGGAAUUCCUGGUGUAGCGAUGAAAUGCGUAGAUAUCAGGAGGAACACCUGUGGUGUAGACGGCUUUCUGGACCAUAACUGACGCUGAGACACGAAAGCGUGGGUAGCAAACAGG